UCUUUUUUUUCUUGAAAAUUUUAAAUGGCUCUCCAGACACCUCUUUCAAUAACUCUUACCCUCCAAAGCUGGGCUGCAUUUUAAUUUCACUUUAAAAUAGCUACAUUGGGACCAUAAUAUGAUCAGAACUAAUGAAUAUUGUGGAGAGAAGCAAAAAAUUUUAUUUAAAAUCUUUAAGAAGUAUAAAUACUUCAUGUGAGUAAGAACCUGUGGUUUAUCCCAGCCCAGUCAAGGACUCAAUUUUGAUUCUGAGGAUAAAUCACUGAGCUCAUCAGACCUCACUUUCUUCUGCUCAAAAAGUUCAUGACUCCAGAGGUUUCUUCACAGAAUGGUAGAAAGCAAUCGUAUUAAAAUGAGUUGCCAUCUCUAAAUAAUAAUUAUAAUAAUAAUGAGAAUCUUUUAGGUGUUAAGGCAGCCAAAGCUACUCACAUAUUGGAUCUAAUAAAAUCGUGCUUCUUUCUAGACACCAAAAACGUUAGCAGAAUGGCAUCAAAGAGAAAUUAUUUAAAAAUUACCAACAUAUAAUGAACAUUUUAAAUUGACCUAGAAAGUUUUUUUUUCUUUCAGAAAAAUUCUUUAUUCUUGACUAGUUUCUUCUUCUGAAACUGGUAUCUCAAGCUUAAUCUAGACCAUCUGGAACUUGCGUGGUAGUCUCUAAAUCUAAGAUGGCUUUAUCAGAAAGAGUUGUCAAGAAGCCGUACUUCUUAAGGAAGUUGCCUUUGGAAAUAACUGUUGUUCUUGAAACAUCGUUGAUCUCCCUAAGACCUUUGCAAGCCUUAGCAAGCCCUGCUGCACUGGAGAUCUUUCUUUUCAGGCUUGGGCACUAUUCCCAGCUCCUCUGUUAUGAGGCAAGAGACAACUUCUCUAUGCUUCCUCUCAUCACCCACAUCCUAAACAUUUUGAGGCGAUUUCUUCAUGAAACACGUUAAGAUCAUUUGGUCAGGUAUUUUGAAUAGAGAUAGCAAGAACUGUCUUCUGAAAAACAGCAGGAUUAAUACCUUCUACAGAGUUUUGAGAGGCAUCACAAAGAAGCCUGAACAUAACUAUUAAUCUAGAUGUCAGGGACCUGAAAACAAAUUGUGAUUCUGCAACCUUGGGCAAUCAUCCCCACAACCUGGCUUCAUUGCCCUCUAUCGUGGAAUGAUGAGGUAUUGGCUUUAGCUUAUUGGCUGUUCACCAUGACGACCCAUGAGCUGCCUCAGAUGUUCAAAGAGAAGGAUAGCUGAGAUUUCCCUGGUGAUUUAGACAAGGCAGGGGUGCUCAGAUCUGCAACAGUUCAGCGACUGAGUCUGGAGAUUCCAGUGUAACCGCUGGAAGCCUCCAGCUUUGUAGGAACACUGACCUAAAGAGAGAACUACAAACUGGCUUGUCAGCAGAAACAAACUAAUCUAUGUUCACUUUUCUUCUUCUAGCUUCGGUAUUCUGAUUUUCCGCUUAGUCUUGAGAUUGUUUAAUUCUGCCACAGAAUUUUAAAAGCUAGGCAUUUCUGUGGCAGUUCUUAUAUUUGGUGAGAAAUGUUGAAUACACAAAAUGCUUCUGGCUUUAAAAACAUUAGAUGUUUUGAAGUGGCAGGUUAUAUAGAUAGACUCUUAAAUUUGGGGCAAAGAUGAUCUACAAGUUCAUUCAUUGACUUGAAUGAAGUUCUAUUCAUUUUCUUUGGUUGGAGAUUUAUCUGCAUUCUUGUUCUAUCAUUUUUGGAGUAGCAUCUAUCUUCUUGCUGUAUAACCAGUUUUGUGAGGUAUAUCCUUUGGCAAAUCCCGUUUGAGGUACUCCAUAAAUGAAAGAACCCUGUAUGGGUGCUGUGAUGUUCAAUCUCUGUCUUCUCUAUACACCACUGGCACCAUGGAAGACCUUCAUCUGUAGUGUAGGUCCCUUGAGU
rnacentral:lncRNA from 10 species